AAGAAACAGUUCUACGUGUAGAACCUUGACGGUACUGUAAGAAUAAGGAUCGGCUAACUCCGUGCCAGCAGCCGCGGUAAUACGGAGGAUCCAAGCGUUAUCCGGAAUCAUUGGGUUUAAAGGGUCCGUAGGCGGUCAGAUAAGUCAGUGGUGAAAGCCCAUCGCUCAACGGUGGAACGGCCAUUGAUACUGUCUGACUUGAAUUAUUAGGAAGUAACUAGAAUAUGUAGUGUAGCGGUGAAAUGCUUAGAGAUUACAUGGAAUACCAAUUGCGAAGGCAGGUUACUACUAAUAUAUUGACGCUGAUGGACGAAAGCGUGGGUAGCGAACAGGAUUAGAUACCCUGGUAGUCCACGCCGUAAACGAUGGAUACUAGCUGUUGGGCGCAAGUUCAGUGGCUAAGCGAAAGUGAUAAGUAUCCCACCUGGGGAGUACGUUCGCAAGAAUGAAACUCAAAGGAAUUGACGGGGGCCCGCACAAGCGGUGGAGCAUGUGGUUUAAUUCGAUGAUACGCGAGGAACCUUACCAAGGCUUAAAUGUAGAUUGACCGGUUUGGAAACAGACUUUUCGCAAGACAAUUUACAAGGUGCUGCAUGGUUGUCGUCAGCUCGUGCCGUGAGGUGUCAGGUUAAGUCCUAUAACGAGCGCAACCCCUGUUGUUAGUUGCCAGCGAGUCAAGUCGGGAACUCUAACAAGACUGCCAGUGCAAACUGUGAGGAAGGUGGGGAUGACGUCAAAUCAUCACGGCCCUUACGCCUUGGGCUACACACGUGCUACAAUGGCCGGUACAGAGAGCAGCC
rnacentral:rRNA from 1 species